CUUCCACAUACAAGAUAGUGGGCUAGGCACCAGGAAUACAACAGGAAACACACUAGACAUGGCUCUGCCCUCACGGGGCUUUUCUAAUACCACAGUUCAGUAGAUGAUGAUAUCCUUACUGGACCAGACACACAACCAACUUCAUUUACUCCAGAAUUGGGCUCCACAGUUGCAGCUGUCCUGGGAAGCACAUAGGCUCAGAUUCCAUACCCUGAGUGGUAAGGUCUUGAGCAUUUUGGCUCUUAAUCACUCACUGAAGUAGAAAGAAUCCACCUCCUUGCCCAAGCACUGAGUCCCUGGUGUCAAGCCCGAGUGACCAACUGAGAAUGCACUUGCCCUUCAGAAAUGGACACAUGUUGAAAGAAGAUGAUGUGAAGGGACACUGGGAGAAGCUGGCCAUCAGCCAUCCACAAGCCAAGGAGAGAGGUGUGGGACAGAACCCUCCUUCACAGCCCUUAGAAGGAACCAACCCGGUUGAUACCUUCAGACUUCUAGACUCUGAAACCGUGAGACAAUAAAUUUCUGUUGUUAAGCCACCUAGUUUGUGGUACUUUGUUAUGGCAACCCUAGCAAA
rnacentral:lncRNA from 1 species